GGGCCUACGGGGGGCAGCAGUGAGGAAUAUUGGUCAAUGGGCUUACGCCUGAACCAGCCAAGUCGCGUGAGGGAUUAAGGCCCUGCGGGUCGUAAACCUCUUUUGCCGGGGAGCAGAGGUCCGGACGUGUCCGGGCCGGGAGAGUACCCGGAGAAAAAGCAUCGGCUAACUCCGUGCCAGCAGCCGCGGUAAUACGGAGGAUGCGAGCGUUAUCCGGAUUUAUUGGGUUUAAAGGGUGCGUAGGCGGGCAUUUAAGCCGGCGGUCAAAUGUCGGGGCCCAACCCCGGCCUGCCGUCGGAACUGGG
rnacentral:rRNA from 1 species